rnacentral:rRNA from 1 species
UGGCAGUGGGGGCGAGAAGGGGGGGUAAUACGGAGGUGGGAGGGGUGGUCCGGGAUGAGUGGGCGUAAGUGGGGGGGAGGCGGUUUGUCAGGGCCGAUGGGAAAGCCCGGGGCUCAACCUGGGGCUGGUGGGGGGAACCGGGUGGCGAGAGUCCGGAAGAGGGGAGGGGAAUUCCAGGUGUAGCGGUGAAAUGCGCAGAUAUCGGGAGGAACACCCGUGGCGAAGGCGGCUCUCUGGGACGGUACUGACGCUGAGGCGCGAAAGCGUGGGGAGCGAACAGGAUUAGAUACCCGGGUAGUC